AUGAACGCUGGCGGCGUGCCUAAUACAUGCAAGUCGAGCGAACGGACGAGAAGCUUGCUUCUCUGAUGUUAGCGGCGGACGGGUGAGUAACACGUGGAUAACCUACCUAUAAGACUGGGAUAACUUCGGGAAACCGGAUCUAAUACCGGAUGAUAUUUUGAACCGCAUGGUUCAAAAGUGAAAGACGGUCUUGCUGUCACUUAUAGAUGGAUCCGCGCUGCAUUAGCUAGUUGGUAAGGUAACGGCUUACCAAGGCAACGAUGCAUAGCCGACCUGAGAGGGUGAUCGGCCACACUGGAACUGAGACACGGUCCAGACUCCUACGGGAGGCAGCAGUAGGGAAUCUUCCGCAAUGGGCGAAAGCCUGACGGAGCAACGCCGCGUGAGUGAUGAAGGUCUUCGGAUCGUAAAACUCUGUUAUAGGGAAGAACAUAUGUGUAAGUAACUGUGCACAUCUUGACGGUACCUAAUCAGAAAGCCACGGCUAACUACGUG
rnacentral:rRNA from 1 species